rnacentral:rRNA from 1 species
GACGAACGCUGGCGGCGUGCUUAACACAUGCAAGUCGAACGGAAAGGCCCUGCUUUUGUGGGGUGCUCGAGUGGCGAACGGGUGAGUAACACGUGAGUAACCUGCCCUUGACUUUGGGAUAACUUCAGGAAACUGGGGCUAAUACCGGAUAGGAGCUCCUGCUGCAUGGUGGGGGUUGGAAAGUUUCGGCGGUUGGGGAUGGACUCGCGGCUUAUCAGCUUGUUGGUGGGGUAGUGGCUUACCAAGGCUUUGACGGGUAGCCGGCCUGAGAGGGUGACCGGCCACAUUGGGACUGAGAUACGGCCCAGACUCCUACGGGAGGCAGCAGUGGGGAAUAUGGCACAAUGGGCGGAAGCCUGAUGCAGCAACGCCGCGUGCGGGAUGACGGCCUUCGGGUGGUAAACCGCUUUCGCCUGUGACGAAGCGUGAGUGACGGUAAUGGGUAAAGAAGCACCGGCUAACUAUGU